ACCUCUUUCAGCAGGGAAGAAGCGCAAGUGACGGUACCUGCAGAAGAAGCGCCGGCUAACUACGUGCCAGCAGCCGCGGUAAUAYGUAGGGCGCAAGCGUUGUCCGGAAUUAUUGGGCGUAAAGAGCUAGUAGGCGGUUUGUCGCGUCUGCUGUGAAAACUUCAGGCUCAACCUGGGGCUUGCAGUGGGUACGGGCAGACUAGAGUGCGGUAGGGGUGACUGGAAUUCCUGGUGUAGCGGUGGAAUGCGCAGAUAUCAGGAGGAACACCGAUGGCGAAGGCAGGUCACUGGGCCGCAACUGACGCUGAGGAGCGAAAGCAUGGGGAGCGAACAGGAUUAGAUACCCUGGUAGUCCAUGCCGUAAACGUUGGGCACUAGGUGUGGGGCUCAUUCCACGAGUUCCGUGCCGCAGCAAACGCAUUAAGUGCCCCGCCUGGGGAGUACGGCCGCAAGGCUAAAAYCCAAAGAAAUUGACGGGGGCCCGCACAAGCGGCGGAGCAUGCGGAUUAAUUCGAUGCAACGCGAAGAACCUUACCAAGGCUUGACAUACACCGGAAAAGUGCAGAGAUGUGCUCCCCGCAAGGUCGGUGUACAUKGUGGUGCAUGGUGUCGUCAGCUCGUGUC
rnacentral:rRNA from 1 species